UUUACUCUAAUCUGUAUGGGGUUGAAACGUUUACCUACGUUUGCCGCUAGAGGCGCUGUUUUAGCUGCAUACAAAUUUGAGUUA
rnacentral:pre_miRNA from 1 species